UUUUUUGAGAGUUUGAUCCUGGCUCAGGAUUAACGCUGGCGGCAUGCCUAACACAUGCAAGUCGAAUGCCCAGUGCGUAGCACUGGGAAUGUCAAAUGAAAAAUGAAAAAUGAAAAAUGUUGGUGUCUCUGGCUUCGCCAGGAUUCCGGCAUUUGUAAUUUGUAAUUUGUAAUUUGGUGUUUCCAAUGCUUCGCAUUGGUAGCAUGGCAGACGGCUGAGUAACGCGUGGGAACUUACCUCUAAGUUGGGUAUAACCUGCCGAAAGGCGGGAUAAUCCCCAAUGUGUUCGCAAGAACAAAGAUUUAUCGCUUAGAGAGAGGCCUGCGUCCGAUUAGCUUGUUGGUGGGGUAAUGGCCUACCAAGGCACUGAUCGGUAGGGGGCUUGAGAGGGUGACCCCCCAGACUGGGACUGAGACACGGCCCAGACUCCUACGGGAGGCAGCAGUGAGGGAUUUUCCGCAAUGGACGAAAGUCUGACGGAGCAAUGCCGCGUGAAGGAAGAAGGUCUUCGGAUUGUAAACUUCUUUUGCUUGGGAAGAUUAUGACGGUACCAAGCGAAUAAGACGCUGCUAACUACGUGCCAGCAGCAGCGGUAAUACGUAGGCGUCGAGCGUUAUCCGGAUUUACUGGGCGUAAAGCGUCCGCAGGUGGGUUGACAAGUCCGAUAUUAAAUAUCCCGGCUCAACCGGGAAAAAGUGUUGGAAACUGUCGAUCUUGAGAUUGGGAGAGGCUGAUGGAACUUAUGGAGUAGGGUUGAAAUCCGUAGAUACCAUAAGGAACACCAAAGGCGAAGGCAGUCAGCUGGCCCAAUUCUGACACUCAUGGACGAAAGCGUGGGUAGCAAACGGGAUUAGAUACCCCGGUAGUCCACGCCCUAAACGAUGGAUACUAGGCAUUGGUGGCAUCGACCCCCUCAGUGCCGAAGCUAACGCGUUAAGUAUCCCGCCUGGGGAGUACGGUCGCAAGACUAAAACUCAAAGGAAUUGACGGGGACCCGCACAAGCGGUGGAGCAUGUGGUUUAAUUCGAUGGUAAGCGGAGCACCUCACCAAGAUUUGACAUCCUGUUGAAAGCGACUGGAAACAGACGCCUCCUUUUAGGCAACAGUGACAGGUGCUGCACGGUUGUCGUCAGCUCGUGUCGUGAGAUGUACGGUUAAGUCCGAUAACGAGCGCAACCCCUAUGUUGUGUUGUAUUUUUCACAACAGACUGCCGUGGUUAACACGGAGGAAGGUGGGGAUGACGUCAAAUCAGCGUGGCCUUUAUAUCUUGGGCGACACACGUGCUACAAUGGGUAGGUCACAAUGGGUUGCGAUGCCGUAAGGCGGAGCUAAUCCCACCAAAACUACCCCAAGUUCGGAUUGAGGGCUGCAACUCGCCCUCAUGAAGCUGGAAUCGCUAGUAACCGCAAAUCAGCCAUGUUGCGGUGAAUACGUUCUCGGGUCUUGUACACACCGCCCGUCACACCAAGAAAGUGAGAAACAUCCGAAAUCCUCUUUUAGAGGCCUAAGGUGGAGCUCAUGAUCGGGGUGAAGUUUAACGGCUUCCCAUGCAAGUAAUUGCAUGGUAAAAUCUAACUAUAU
rfam:Candidate division Kazan bacterium RIFCSPLOWO2_01_FTLL_45_19 RIFCSPLOWO2_01_FTLL_KAZAN_45_19, whole genome shotgun sequence.